rnacentral:lncRNA from 1 species
UUGGAUUGAAGGAACCUAUAAGAAGCUGAGUAUAUACAGAAUAGUCAGUGAAAGCAAGGAUGCUGAAGUAAGACUGCUGACCUAGGUACAAAACUGAAUAAUGUCCUAGAAGCAACACAAUUAUAACCCUUUGGAACUGUUUAUUCCAAUGGAGAGAAAUCAUUUACAUCUCUGCCAGACAAAAAUCAUUUGCAACUUAUCAAUUUCCUACAAAUUAAGAUCUAACUUUUCAGGAUCUAGACCAUAAGAAUUUGUGAUAGUGAGCCAAAUCAAGGAUUUCAGAUGACGCUUGGGCUGGCCCAUUAGACAAGGCUUUAGAAUGACACUGAAGGACACACAGACAUCUUGCUGGGUAAUUUUUAAUGUGCGUGUGUGUGUGUGUGUGUGUGUGUGUGUGUGUGUGUGUGUUUACCAGUGACAUCAAUACUCCUUUGUAACUACCUGUUAUCUUGUCUGAAAUUCCCAGUAAACUGAAAGCAUCUAGGGACAACAAUUGUGUUUUGUUUACUCUUGUAGCCUCUGACCCUAGUUUAGUGCCUAAGAUAUAGUAGGCACUCAGAUAGUUAUUACUGAAUGAGUUAAAAGACUUCUCUUUCAGCAUUGAGGUCCCCCCUUCAAGGAGCCUACCAGUUUCCCACAGAUCCAGAUUAUGAAUGAUGAGGAUUCUAGGCAUUGAUUCCAGCCCAAUCUUUCCCCAACUCCAGCCAAGUGUCCCCUGUGACCCGCAUCCCCUCAGUCAUUUCUCCUGCUUUGUUCUACUGCACAAGCCCUAAUAGUCACCUGGAUGAUCAGGCACAGAAGGCAGCAAGAAAGAAGCAUGUCUCUGUGCAAGAAGCAGGGUCUCGCUUUUCAGGGCCCCCUGCCUAGCCCCAGUCCCAGCAGAUUGGCUAGAACUGAGGCCUGAUGCCUGGUGCUGCCUCUGGGAGCACAAGGGCUCCUUCUGUUCCUGGAUUCAACUCCUCAGGGACAGCUACUGGGGCUCCAGGCACGUUGCUCAUCAUUCUAACUGGCUCACAGGGCAGCCAGAUUUUCUCACAGAUAAUGAGCCUGUAUAAUUUACAUCAAGACUAAAUUAUGCAUUUAACAACGUGUUGUUCAGCAGGGAUAAACUGCCUGGUUUGUGAAUUGCUUUUCUUCCCACAGGAGGGAGGUACAACAGAGGGAGUGGAGACGGGGUGCACUCCACACACCUUCCAGUUAUGAGGGGUCUGGAAAAGUCUGGAAAGAAAGGAAUUGAAAUAGCAGACAUCCACACUGAAGCUUUUCCUCUGAAAAAGGAAAAUAAUGUGACCAAAUAAUUUAUCAUCCAUCCAAGAACAUUUUUGAGUACUCUUAAAAAUUACACCAGAACCACAGGAAUAAACCACAGCUGCUCUGGAAGGGUCCUGGGCAAGCUGGACCUAAGAGCACCCCAGAAAUGAAAGUCUUUGUUUCUUUUUAAAAAAUUGUUGACAUCACUGAACAGAGCUCAGUGUGCAGCCCACUGUAUCAAGUCCUAGACCAGCCAACGAAAGCUGCGUUGAACCUAUCCUGCAGCAGAAACACUGGUGAAGAAGCCUGGAGAAACAGAGGCCUGCAGUACCCAGUAACUAACCAGGCUGCACGAAUGGAGCAUGAGAACACCCUACAGCCUGUUAUUUGCUGCAUGUUUCUACGGGCACCAGCAAAGCACAACUUCUAGUAAUGGGAUCAGUAACCCAAGUGACGGAACUGAAAAGGCAAGUCUGAAUUUAUCUCCAUCUGUCAUGUUCCAGUGAACAAUGAAAGCACAGUAAAGGGAAACGCUGCUUCUUG